GGUUCGGUGGUUUAGGGGUAUGAUUCUCGCUUAGGGUGCGAGAGGUCCCGGGCUCAAAUCCCAGCCGAACCC